AUGUGCAUGUGCACAUGUGUGAGUGUGUGCUUGCAUACAUGAGUGAGUGAAUGUAUGUGUUCAUGUGCAUUUGUGUGUGCA
rnacentral:miRNA from 1 species